GUACCAAACGUGUACGCGUCAAUCAGUCCUCUACUUAAACCAUCACCUGUGCCCUGGUCAUCGCUCACGAUGGAGUUCUUCUCUCAGAGCUACUCUUUUGCCUUUCGGCGGCUUCUCUCCUGGACCUUGUCCCUGCUUUUCCCGACUGUCGCUCGAUUUGGUACCUACGCCUGUUUUUCGCACUCUCGGAUCCUGACCCCAGCCAGUCUCUUCGUUUACGCCUCCACCUGCCGAUUCCACACCGACGCCUCUUCUACGCCUCACCGGACCCCGACCCCAGCCUGUUUCCUCGACUACGCCUUCGCCUGCCGAUUCAGUGCCUACGCCUCUACAACGCCUUCCUGGACUCGGACUCCAGCCUGCUUAUUCCGACUACGCCUAGCGCCAACCCUACCAAGGGCACCGCAUUGGAUCUCCAUCCUCCGCAGUCAGUCCUUGCGUGAUAAAAUAUACAGGUGACUCUGAUAUUCCAGAGCUCUGGGACACCGCAAGAGAAGUCUGUCACCCACAGUGUGUAGACAAGCUUGGUGGACCAACAGGAGAUCGGAACGACGAACAGGAUCAGGAGACGAAUGAAGAUUAUGAGAAGCCAUCACACUCCCACUGCAGUAACCUUUUCCUCAGUAGCGACUGCAGAUGCUUGACUACUCUCCAAUG